CCUACGGGAGGCAGCAGUGGGGGAUAUUGGACAAUGGGGGGAACCCUGCUCCAGCGACGCCGCGUGAGUGAAGAAGUAUCUCGGUAUGUAAAGCUCUAUCAGCAGGGAAGAAGAAAUGACGGUACCUGAGUAAGAAGCCCCGGCUAACUACGUGCCAGCAGCCGCGGUAAUACGUAGGGGGCAAGCGUUAUCCGGAAUUACUGGGGGGAAAGGAAGGGUAAACGGUGAUUAAAGUCAGGAGUGAAGGGGGGGGGCCCAACCCCCGGACUGCUCUGGAAACUAUGUGACUGGAGUGAAGGAGAGGUGAGCGGAAUUCCUAGUGUAGCGGUGAAAUGCGUAGAUAUUAGGAGGAACACCAGUGGCGAAGGCGGCUCACUGGACUGUAACUGACGUUGAGGCUCGAAAGCGUGGGGAGCAAACAGGAUUAGAUACCCGGGUAGUC
rnacentral:rRNA from 1 species